rnacentral:rRNA from 1 species
UACGUAGGCAGCGAGCGUUGUUCGGAAUUACUGGGCGUAAAGAGUGUGUAGGCGGUGCUCUAAGUUCGGUGUGAAAUCUCCUGGCUCAACUGGGAGGGUGGUCGCGAGACGGCUGGGCUUGAGGCUCGGUGAGGGGCGUGGAAUUCCGGGUGGAGCGGUGAAAUGCGUAGAGAUCCGGAGGAACACCGACGGCGCAGGCAGCGCCCUAGACGAGACCUGACGCUCAGGCACGAAAGCGCGGGGAGCGAACGGG